UGGGAUUGUUAAUGAGCAGUUGAAUUUUUUUGUCACUUGGCUUUUCUAUACUUCCUGAGUUUCCUGUAAUAGCUACAUUUCACUUUCAUCAACAGAAAAAAAUCUACAAAUACUUGGUCUGUCAGGGGAAGCCCAAGUGGAUGUCCUGUUGUACAGACCGUGCAUUGCACAAGUCUAGGAGAUGCCCUUUGCAGCAGAGUCCCUGCGCAGGGCCCAUUUGAGCUGUGAGGAGUGCACUUGGCAUCCCAGCUCCUCAGUGCAGGAAGGUAGUUUAGCGUGUGGCCACAUGUGUUAGAUAUGAAGUCCUCUGAUUGUUUUAGGAGGUGGCCUUCAGACAUCUUAAUGCCACUCUUCCUCAUGAAAUCCUGUUUGCUGGCUCCUACCCAGCUUACGGCAGGUGUAGGUGGGGUGCCCGUUGUUCAUCAAGCUCCUGCUAGGAAGAGAAGAGUUGUCCUGCGAAACUAACUUACGCUAUUUCUUUACCCUCCGUGACAACUCUGUGAAGCUGAGGUCCCCCUUAUUCUACAAGGGUGGAUGACGGUGUAGUGGGGUUAGAUGACUCCCUUCAGGAAGAAGAGUUGUGAGUAGACCUGUUUGUUUCUUUCUGUGCAUCCCCACGGAACCCUUCCCUCUCUGCCUCCUCCGAGGAAGUGUGUUCUCUAUUCAGCCAACCUCUAGAUUUUAUCCCGUUGAUCACUUCAGACCCUCGACCUUAUUUCGUAUAUCCUAUAUCAACAUUUCCUGCAGAAAAGGGUUGCUUUAUAGCUGAGUCCAUACAAAAUCAAGCAGAUCACAGGGUGCCCUCUGUGACGUCACAUUGAACAAAUGGUAAUUCUAACAACUGCCCCCGAAUAAUUCUUUUUUUUCCUUCUCCUCCGUGUACCGUUCAUCUUCCCUGCAAUUAACAAUUGGCCAUCAAGCCGACAGCGUCUCUUCCAACGGGGACGGAUGUCACAUGUCCAGCCACAAGGUACAGGGAUCUUAUUUCUUCCACCCAAACAUGUGGCAAGUGAAAUUGUGCAUGCAGAGAGCCUGGUGUGGAACAUUUGAAACCAUAACUGUCCUUAAAAGUCCAAGUCUUUAUUGCCAGCAGCACAGGGAGCUGCAGGAUUCCCAAAGCCUCAACUCCACGUGGCUCCUGAAGUCCCUGCCCCAACCCUCCUGGUCCCUUCUCUGUCUCCCUGACCCCAGAGAGGACGGAUCCCUAUAGCUGCAGCACAACUCAGGUCUGGGCCCCAGACGUUGGCCACGUGAUCACCAAAGGGUACGUCAGUUUGAAGGGUUUGGUUGAAAUUUCUGCUUGAAGUCACCGAAUUCAGGUUCAUUACACAGAUUGAGCAGUUCAGAGCAAUUCUUCAGCGGUUUUUGUUUUUUCCUGUUCAAUAAAACUCUGUAUUCAGAAUAAACCA
rnacentral:lncRNA from 1 species